UACGAAGGGGGCUAGCGUUGUUCGGAAUUACUGGGCGUAAAGCGCACGUAGGCGGAUCGUUAAGUGAGGGGUGAAAUCCCAGGGCUCAACCCUGGAACUGCCUUUCAUACUGGCGAUCUUGAGUUCGAGAGAGGUGAGUGGAAUUCCGAGUGUAGAGGUGAAAUUCGUAGAUAUUCGGAGGAACACCAGUGGCGAAGGCGGCUCACUGGCUCGAUACUGACGCUGAGGUGCGAAAGCGUGGGGAGCAAAC
rnacentral:rRNA from 1 species